rnacentral:rRNA from 1 species
UAUAUUAAAGUUGUUGCAGUUAAAAAGCUCGUAGUUGAACCUUUGGCCUGACUGGCAGGUCCGCCUCACCGCGUGCACUUGUCCGGCCGGGCCUUUUCUUCUGGAGAACCGCAUGCCCUUCACUGGGUGUGUUGGGGACCAGGACUUUUACUUUGAAAAAAUUACAGUGUUCAAAGCAGGCCUUUGCUCGAAUACGUUAGCAUGGAAUAAUAGAAUAGGACGUGCGGUCCUAUUUUGUUGGUUUCUAAGACCGCCGUAAUGAUUAA